UAUUUUUGGUAGCAGUAUGCGACCGUUUUACUGAGGUGUGAUUGACAUACAAAACACACUCAACCUUCUAAGUCAAAAAGCAAGUGUUACAGUAUGAAAGAUUACAUUAAUGACCUUACUUCUUCACCUCUUCCUUUACCAGGUGACCUUGGAAUUUCAUCCACUGAAGAGCCAGAGUCUAUUUUCCUUUCCUUUGAAUCUGGGCUGGCCCUGUAACUUGUUUUGGGCAAUAGAAUGUGGUGGAAGUGAUGGUGGGCCAGUUCCAGGUCCAGGUCUCAAAAGGCCUUGAGUGUUUUCACUUACUUCUGUGUUUGCCACGAGAACAUAUCCAGGUUAUCCCAUUUCUGGUUUCUUCUCAAAGUCUAGGUGUAGUGACCAGGAACAAUGGCGGGCCUCCAGGGAAAAGUGAGCUGCUUGGUUAUUAGGAGUGCAGAGAGCACCCAGGAAGGUAGGAGAAGUACUAGGAGAGCAGAGGAUCCCAGAAGGAAGAAAAGUGUUUCAAGAAGAAGGAAAUAAUAACAUUAGUCAAAUGACUAAGUUGAGGACUUGAGGAGACAAUGGAAUUUGAAGUGGAGGGCAGUAGUGACCUUACAGAGAACAGGUCCACUAAAGUGGUUUUGAGAGAAGUGAAAUGACAAAAGUUUGAGAAUGGGAAGUAUUUCCAAGUGCUCAUCUAUAAAUGGACUGCUUGAGCCCAUGUUGGCAAGCUUGUUGAAAAUGCAUUUCCAGGACUCACCCCAGAGCCAUGACCUCAGGCUGUUCUCUGCCCCCCAAGGAACACUUUGAUCAGGGUUAUCUGCUACCGGUGGGUGCUCACUGUAGCAGAUGCUCUUAGUGUCCCUUUUACAUGCAUUCAGCACUCACUAUUCAGUAUAUACUGCUUGCUUCACAAGGAAGCACAUGUGAUGUCUCUGCCCGAGGACUUUCCCUGGCCACUGGAGCAUGCUUG
rnacentral:lncRNA from 1 species